GACGAACCGUGCAAACGUUGUUCGGAAUCACUGGGCUUAAAGGGCGCGUAGGCGGGCCAGACAGUCUGUGGUGAAAGCCUCCAGCUCAACUGGAGAAGUGCCGUGGAUACUGCUGGUCUCGAGGAGGGUAGGGGCAUCUGGAACAGUAGGUGGAGCGGUGAAAUGCGUUGAUAUCUACUGGAACUCCUAUGGCGAAGGCAAGGUGCUGGACCCUUUCUGACGCUGAGGCGCGAAAGCCAGGGGAGCAAACGGG
rnacentral:rRNA from 1 species